rnacentral:rRNA from 2 species
AAAUUGAAGAGUUUGAUCAUGGCUCAGAUUGAACGCUGGCGGCAGGCCUAACACAUGCAAGUCGAACGGUAACAGGAAGCAGCUUGCUGCUUUGCUGACGAGUGGCGGACGGGUGAGUAAUGUCUGGGAAACUGCCUGAUGGAGGGGGAUAACUACUGGAAACGGUGGCUAAUACCGCAUAACGUCGCAAGACCAAAGAGGGGGACCUUCGGGCCUCUUGCCAUCAGAUGUGCCCAGAUGGGAUUAGCUUGUUGGUGAGGUAACGGCUCACCAAGGCGACGAUCCCUAGCUGGUCUGAGAGGAUGACCAGCCACACUGGAACUGAGACACGGUCCAGACUCCUACGGGAGGCAGCAGUGGGGAAUAUUGCACAAUGGGCGCAAGCCUGAUGCAGCCAUGCCGCGUGUAUGAAGAAGGCCUUCGGGUUGUAAAGUACUUUCAGCGGGGAGGAAGGUGUUGUGGUUAAUAACCACAGCAAUUGACGUUACCCGCAGAAGAAGCACCGGCUAACUCCGUGCCAGCAGCCGCGGUAAUACGGAGGGUGCAAGCGUUAAUCGGAAUUACUGGGCGUAAAGCGCACGCAGGCGGUCUGUCAAGUCGGAUGUGAAAUCCCCGGGCUCAACCUGGGAACUGCAUUCGAAACUGGCAGGCUUGAGUCUUGUAGAGGGGGGUAGAAUUCCAGGUGUAGCGGUGAAAUGCGUAGAGAUCUGGAGGAAUACCGGUGGCGAAGGCGGCCCCCUGGACAAAGACUGACGCUCAGGUGCGAAAGCGUGGGGAGCAAACAGGAUUAGAUACCCUGGUAGUCCACGCCGUAAACGAUGUCUACUUGGAGGUUGUGCCCUUGAGGCGUGGCUUCCGGAGCUAACGCGUUAAGUAGACCGCCUGGGGAGUACGGCCGCAAGGUUAAAACUCAAAUGAAUUGACGGGGGCCCGCACAAGCGGUGGAGCAUGUGGUUUAAUUCGAUGCAACGCGAAGAACCUUAC